CGGUUUUCUCUGUGAUCUACAGAAUGACAGCUAAUCGUCUGAGAUCAUCGUGAAAGCCAGU
rnacentral:pre_miRNA from 1 species